rnacentral:rRNA from 1 species
AGUGAACGCUGGCGGUAGGCCUAACACAUGCAAGUCGAACGGCAGCACAGUAAGAGCUUGCUCUUACGGGUGGCGAGUGGCGGACGGGUGAGGAAUACAUCGGAAUCUACUUUUUCGUGGGGGAUAACGUAGGGAAACUUACGCUAAUACCGCAUACGACCUACGGGUGAAAGCAGGGGAUCUUCGGACCUUGCGCGAUUGAAUGAGCCGAUGUCGGAUUAGCUAGUUGGCGGGGUAAAGGCCCACCAAGGCGACGAUCCGUAGCUGGUCUGAGAGGAUGAUCAGCCACACUGGAACUGAGACACGGUCCAGACUCAUACGGGAGGCAGCAGUGGGGAAUAUUGGACAAUGGGCGCAAGCCUGAUCCAGCCAUACCGCGUGGGUGAAGAAGGCCUUCGGGUUGUAAAGCCCUUUUGCUGGGAAAGAAAAGCAGCAGGUUAAUACCCCGCUGUUCUGACGGUACCCAAAGAAUAAGCACCGGCUAACUUCGUG